AAAAAAAAUUAAAACAUGCAAUAAUCACAACUUUUUUUUGUUUAUGUUUUUUAAUUCUAUAUUUACUUAACCAGACCUUAAAACCGAUAAAAACCGGCAAUUUUCCGGAAUUCGGGAACCUAAAUCGACUUACCGUUAUUUUAUGCAGGUUUUUAUAUUGAUUAUCCAAUAUAUCUAUAUUAAACUGAUUAUCGGUUACCGUGAUGAUUAACAGUUAACGGUUAAUUCAGUUAACGGAAAACGUAAUAAAAACAUAAAAUAAAUUAACCGCUCAAGAACCGAUAUUUUUUAAUUGCCGAUUACCAUUGUCCGUCUACUCG